rnacentral:snoRNA from 2 species
UCUCAGUGAUGAUCAAAACGAUGACGAGUCUGAUGAAAUCCAUUCAAAACAAUUGUGAGGACAAAACGAGGCAUUUGUCUGAGAGAA